CAGCAGUAGGGAAUCUUCCGCAAUGGACGAAAGUCUGACGGAGCAACGCCGCGUGAGUGAUGAAGGCUUUCGGGUCGUAAAACUCUGUUGUUAGGGAAGAACAAGUGCUAGUUGAAUAAGCUGGCACCUUGACGGUACCUAACCAGAAAGCCACGGCUAACUACGUGCCAGCAGCCGCGGUAAUACGUAGGUGGCAAGCGUUAUCCGGAAUUAUUGGGCGUAAAGCGCGCGCAGGUGGUUUCUUAAGUCUGAUGUGAAAGCCCACGGCUCAACCGUGGAGGGUCAUUGGAAACUGGGAGACUUGAGUGCAGAAGAGGAAAGUGGAAUUCCAUGUGUAGCGGUGAAAUGCGUAGAGAUAUGGAGGAACACCAGUGGCGAAGGCGACUUUCUGGUCUGUAACUGACACUGAGGCGCGAAAGCGUGGGGAGCAAACAGGAUUAGAUACCCUGGUAGUCCACGCCGUAAACGAUGAGUGCUAAGUGUUAGAGGGUUUCCGCCCUUUAGUGCUGAAGUUAACGCAUUAAGCACUCCGCCUGGGGAGUACGGCCGCAAGGCUGAAACUCAAAG
rnacentral:rRNA from 1 species